rnacentral:lncRNA from 9 species
AUGUGGCCCUAGAAAAGAAAAAAAAAAAAAGAGGUUGAUGAUCUGUUUGGCAAAAUGGAGUUAAAGCAAAGAAAUAAGGUGACAACCCUUCUGUAGCAGCUGUCAGGAAAGCAUCACAGCCAGUGUGAGUUUUGAUGGACAUCAAUUGUCUGAUGGUGACUCUUCCUGCGACCCCGGGUUUCAGCAUCUGGAAACUGGCCUACAAGCUGAGAGCAGAAAAAACCGGCUUUGCAGUUAUCGCUUGACAGAUGCACACAGUCUGGAAACUGAAGAGAUACUGGCUUUGCUUUGUUUGGGUCAACAUAGGUGUCAAGUUACUUGCCCUCUAUCAAUGUGGUUCCUGGGAAUGGCAUCCCUUCCCGGGAGGUUUUGGGAGGACAAAACAAGACAGCGGACUAGAAGGACCUUGAGCUCACCUCCUCCCACAGGACACCGAAAUCAUGACUAACA